rnacentral:sRNA from 1 species
AUUAACUCUUUUAGUCAGCUGAGAAGCUGCGGUGGCUCGGCGAGUUGGAGUUCAUCCUGGAAGCGUCUGCCCAGCAAGUUCAGGGAGGAGGUGUGGAAUAACUUUUUCAUGGGACACUUUGAGAAGGGCCAGCACGCUCUGCUCAAUGAAGGAGAAGAGAAUGAGAUGGAGAUAUUUGGCUAUCGGACUCAAGGCUGCCGAAAAAGUCUCUGCCUUGCUGGAUCCAUCUUCUCAUUUGGAAUCCUCCCGUUGGUGUUUUACUGGAGACCAGCAUGGCACGUCUGGGCACAUUGUGUCCCAUGUUCCUUGCAAGAAGCAGACACUGUGUUGCUGAGGACAACAGAUGAAUUCCAAAUUUACUCUUGGAAAAAGGUAAUAUGGAUCUACCUGUCAGCAUUAAACAGCGCCUUUGGUCUCACUCCUGGCCACCCUCUCAUUACAGAUGAGGAGUGUAUCAUAAAUAGAGCCAUAAGAAAGCCAGACCUAAAGGUGAGAUGCAUAAAAGUGCAGAAAAUAAGAUAUGUUUGGAACUACUUAGAAGGACAGUUCCAGAAAAUUGGCUCUUUGGAAGACUGGCUCAGUUCUGCCAAGAUACAUCAAAAAUUUGGAUCAGGCUUGACAAGAGAAGAACAGGAGAUCAGGAGGUUAAUAUGUGGGCCUAAUACUAUUGAUGUUGAAGUUACACCAAUUUGGAAACUGCUCAUCAAGGAGGUUCUAAAUCCAUUUUAUAUAUUUCAACUCUUCAGUGUCUGUUUGUGGUUUAGUGAAGACUAUAAGGAAUAUGCUUUUGCCAUCAUAAUCAUGUCCAUAAUUUCCAUAUCUUUGACAGUAUAUGAUCUCAGAGAGCAAUCUGUAAAACUCCACCAUCUCGUCGAGUCACAUAAUAGCAUUACGGUCUCUGUAUGCGGGAGAAAAGCUGGAGUUCAAGAGCUGGAAUCACGCGUCCUGGUGCCUGGAGAUUUAUUAAUUUUGACAGGGAACAAAGUGCUAAUGCCAUGUGAUGCCGUUCUGAUUGAAGGCAGCUGUGUGGUGGAUGAAGGCAUGCUGACAGGAGAAAGUAUUCCAGUCACCAAAACUCCAUUACCCAAGAUGGAUAGCUCUGUGCCCUGGAAAACACAGAGUGAAGCGGAUUACAAACGGCAUGUCCUCUUCUGUGGAACAGAGGUUAUCCAGGCCAAGGCAGCUUGCUCUGGGACUGUGAGAGCAGUGGUACUGCAGACUGGAUUCAACACUGCAAAGGGAGACCUUGUGAGAUCCAUUCUCUACCCCAAGCCAAUGAAUUUUAAGUUGUACAGGGAUGCCAUCAGGUUCCUCCUAUGCCUUGUAGGAACAGCCACCAUUGGGAUGAUCUAUACUCUGUGUGUCUAUGUGCUUAGUGGGGAACCUCCAGAGGAGGUGGUGAGGAAAGCCCUUGACGUCAUCACAAUUGCGGUUCCUCCUGCUCUACCUGCUGCUCUGACCACAGGCAUUAUCUAUGCCCAGAGGAGGCUGAAGAAGAGAGGCAUCUUCUGCAUUAGCCCCCAGAGGAUCAAUGUAUGUGGACAGUUAAACCUUGUCUGCUUUGACAAGACAGGCACCUUAACAAGGGAUGGCUUGGACCUCUGGGGAGUCGUGUCCUGCGAUAGGAAUGGCUUUCAGGAAGUUCACAGCUUUGCCUCGGGCCAGGCUUUGCCAUGGGGCCCACUGUGUGCGGCGAUGGCCAGCUGCCACUCUCUGAUCCUUCUUGAUGGGACCAUCCAGGGAGACCCUCUGGACCUCAAAAUGUUUGAGGGCACCACCUGGGAAAUGGCUUUUUCUGGGGACGAUCUCCACAUCAAGGGAGUGCCGGCACAUGCCAUGGUAGUUAAGCCCCGCAGAACAGCCAGCCAGGUCCCAGUGGAAGGAAUCGCAAUCCUGCGUCAGUUCCCGUUCUCAUCGGCACUGCAAAGAAUGACAGUCAUUGUCCAAGAGAUGGGAGGUGACCGACUGGCAUUCAUGAAAGGGGCACCAGAGAGGGUCGCCAGCUUUUGCCAACCUGAGACAGUACCCACCAGUUUUGUUAGCGAACUUCAGAUUUACACGACACAGGGCUUUCGAGUCAUAGCACUGGCCUACAAGAAGCUGGAAAAUGACCAUCAGACUACUACCUUGACGAGGGAGACAGUAGAAUCAGACCUGAUAUUUCUGGGGCUGCUGAUCUUGGAGAAUCGAUUGAAGGAAGAGACAAAACCUGUCUUGGAAGAGCUCAUCUCAGCCCGGAUAAGGACUGUAAUGAUCACAGGUGACAAUCUUCAGACUGCAAUAACAGUGGCCAGAAAAUCUGGAAUGGUUUCUGAAAGCCAGAAAGUCAUUCUCAUUGAGGCAAAUGAAAUCACUGGGUCCUCAUCAGCAUCUAUAUCUUGGACAUUAGUAGAAGAGAAGAAACACAUUACGUAUGGGAAUCAGGACAAUUACAUUAACAUCAGGGAUGAAGUCUCUGAUAAAGGCAGAGAAGGAAGUUACCAUUUUGCCCUAACUGGAAAAUCCUUUCAUGUUAUAAGUCAACAUUUCAGCAGCCUACUGCCAAAGAUACUGAUCAAUGGGACCAUCUUUGCAAGAAUGUCUCCUGGGCAGAAGUCCAGUCUGGUGGAAGAAUUUCAGAAACUGGAGUAGGUUCUUUGCCAGUGCAGGUGGCAUGAACUGCAUGGAGGCAUAACAGUCAGGGGGAGUGAAAGAGGUACAGGGAGUCACUCAGUUUGGCAAGGGCAGUGGUCCUUACUCUGGCUGCAUGAGAUAAUCACUUGGGGAUUUGGAAAAAAUAGCAAUACCAAGGGAUCUCACCAUUCAGAGAUCCUGAUUCAGUUGUUUAUAUGGGGCUUAAAAAAAUCAGUAUUUUUUUUUCACUUAAGUCAAUUUUGCAUUCAAUGUUGAGAAUCACUGGACUAGAACCUAAGGGUCCUGAAAGAGUGUGGGGAGAAAUAAGAAUGGAAAGGUGGCUUAAGCUCAGCUCCUGGAGGGACAAUGAGAAUUUAGACUUUAUUUGUAUAUGCUGUCAUCACAAUGAUGAUAUAGGGACAUUCUUAUGACAAGAGAUUCAUAUAACACUAAAAAUACUAAAAU